AACUAGGAAACUUCCAGCCAUUGUUUGUGCCUUUGACCCUCUGGCUCCCUCCACGCUGAUGAAAGGCACCCUUUUGUCAACCUGAGGCUUGAAAGUGACCCUGGGUCGAGACCUGCCGGCUGGUUUCUUUUGUGUUUUCUUACUUUUCUGGCUCCUUCCUUCCUUCAUUCCAUCAGGGGAAGCGCUGCUUUUUCCCCAAGCAGAUCCCACCCCCACGGAUGGUUGGGGCCGCAUUAAGCCCCUGACCCAGUGCAUGGGCGGGCGUCACCUCGAGCUCUUCCUGUUCAGAGCCCAGCUGGAACCGAACAGGCGCGCAUCUAAUGUUUGUGGAAUGAAUACAGCCGUUUGUGCCAGAAGGAGUCACUCCUAUUGGACGGGUGUGAACACAGAGUCUGAGAAGUUCCGGGGCUGGGCUGCCUCUUUGCACAACACUUGGUGCUCUGGACAUGACCCUGGGGCUAGGCUUUAUUCCACCUGUACAGUCUGUUGGUGGUAGGUGGCUCCCAGGGUUCUAGACAUGUCUGGUUGGCCCUAAAGGCCACAUUCUCAAGUUCUAUGACGUGUGACCAAGAAAGGGUUCUGCCGUGAUGCCAUUCACUCAGAGCGUCUCAAGGGCAGUGCUCUGUCCACGCUAAAAUUCGUUCAGCUUAAAGACUGUCUCCUAUGUGCCUGGCACCAUUACAAAAGCUGGAAACGCGGAAAAAGGCAACAUGAAGUGUGAUUUAGCGCUGUUUUGAGGAAUGCCAUGUUGCGAAGAUGCAGUGUUCGCCAAUCCAUCGUGGCAAACCUUGCCAUGCCAGAUCUCGGGCUGGGUCUUUGUUGAAUUCAUUCCUUCAACCUCAGACACACAGGGGUAGGGGUAAGCCUUCGUCAUGAGAGGAGGGGCAGCAAAUAGAACAGAAAGGGGACGUCUUUCUGCUGGAAAUGUGCCGAAUGCUUCUUGAACAACAAAAAGAUGAAAACCCACAGCCUGGCGCUCACAGUACUUCUAACUUACAGACCAGGACAAAUACCUGUAUUGAGGAUUCUUUAGGAUGAAGCACUCAGAGGGAUUCCAGAAGCUCUCUGCUUUGGGGCAUAAGCUAAUUGCUGACUGUGAUCAGGAAGUGACCAGCUCUUUCUCGUGCACCUGUAACAGAAGCCCUAGGAGAGCUGCAUGACCCUCCACCAUCCCCG
rnacentral:lncRNA from 9 species